GCCAUGGUAGCUCAGUGGUAGAGCAUCAAACGCAUUAUUUGAAGGCCGCAGGUUCGGUUCCUGCCCACGGCA